rnacentral:rRNA from 1 species
UGAGGAAUAUUGGUCAAUGGACGAGAGUCUGAACCAGCCAAGUAGCGUGCAGGAUGACGGCCCUAUGGGUUGUAAACUGCUUUUGUUUGGGAAUAAUCGACAUUACGUGUAAUGUUUUGCAUGUACCAUUCGAAUAAGGACCGGCUAAUUCCGUGCCAGCAGCCGCGGUAAUACGGAAGGUCCAGGCGUUAUCCGGAUUUAUCGGGUUUAAAGGGAGUGUAGGCGGUUGGUUAAGCGUGUUGUGAAAUGUAGAUGCUCAACAUCUGACUUGCAGCGCGAACUGGCUGACUUGAGUACACACAACGUAGGCGGAAUUCAUGGUGUAGCGGUGAAAUGCUUAGAUAUCAUGAAGAACUCCGAUUGCGAAGGCAGCUUACGGGAGUGUUACUGACGCUUAAGCUCGAAGGUGCGGGUAUCGAACAGG